GACAGAGGGUGCAAACGUUGUUCGGAAUUACUGGGCGUAAAGCGCGUGUAGGCGGCCCGGUAAGUCGGAUGUGAAAGCUCUGGGCUUAACCUAGGAAGUGCAUUCGAAACUCCCGUGGCUUGAGUUCUGGAGAGGGAAGCGGAAUUCUCGGUGUAGAGGUGAAAUUCGUAGAUAUCGAGAGGAACACCGGUGGCGAAGGCGGCUUCCUGGACAGUGACUGACGCUGAGACGCGAAAGCGUGGGGAGCAAACAGG
rnacentral:rRNA from 1 species